GAAAUGCGAUAAGUAAUGUGAAUUGCAGAAUUCCGUGAAUCAUCGAAUCUUUGAACGCACAUUGCGCCCUCUGGUAUUCCGGGGGGCAUGCCUGUCCGAGCGUCAUUGCGAACCCCUCAAGCACGGCUUGUGUGAUGGGCCCUCCCGCGUCUUGGUCGUCAAGAUGGGCCCGAAAUGCAGUGGCGGCUUCGCGGUUAUCCGAUCAGCCAGAGCGUAUGGGGACUUUCUCUCUGUCACACGCCCGCGGCGCGGACCGACGCCUGUCGACCUUCAUUCAUCGUUUUCUCGGUUGACCUCGGAUCAGGUAGGGAUACCCGCUGAACUUAAGC
rnacentral:misc_RNA from 1 species